CAAGCCCUCGGGGAGUCCCCUGGGCGGCAUCUCAGCGCCCACUGCCACUGCUGGCGUUUCCCGCCCAUCAGCCACCUCAGCCUCCAGUUCCCUCACUGCUGUGGCCCCCUCACAGCACCCCUAUCCCCAGUGUGAGCCACCCCUCCACUUCCCCCUCUCCCACCCAGUCAUGCCAGUGAUUCCGAUCCUGGGGCCUGAGACCCUUUCCAGGCCACCCUCAGGAUUAGGGCUAGAAGGCUGGGGGGGGUCAUCUAGUCUAGUGGUUCUCAACCUUUGGUACCUUAUGCAGUACCCCCAGCCGAUUGAUGUGGCAAAAGCAAAACCAGAGUCCCACCGUGGCACUUCCGGUUUUGCUGCCGUGAGCAGAGUCCCACUUUUUCCUCGCAGACCACAGCAAAGCAGUCUGGACAUGUAGGGCAUAUGCAACCCGCGAGGGGCCCUUGAUGUGCUGCACCAGGCAGCCCCUGACUGGCCCAGCCCUGGCACAUGCAGGGCAAUGCUGGCUGUGCAGUGGAGGUGGGGGGCAUGUGGCUGAACACAGAGCAGCGGUGGCCGCUGUGUGCAAGCUUCCCCUGCCCUGCCCCGCGUCCAGCUGGGCAGGCGGCGCCUGCACGGCAGCGUGGGAUGGUGUGUAGCACUGCUCUGUCCCCACCUGCCCGUGCAUACCCCCCAGGGCCUUCUCAAGUACCCCCAGGGGUACACAUACUCCUGGUUCACAACGCCUGCCCUAGCCCAAGGGUUGCCCAAGAUGCCUGGACCAGGGCAGAAGGCCCAUGCAAGCAUGCAGCAGGCAUGCUGGACCCUGUGUGGGAAGAAGGCAUCUACAAGGGAGCAGAGGCACUGAUGAGUGGUUUGAAACGUGGACAUGGGGCCCUUAGGGGAGUUGGUGGUGGGGGUUUUGUGGGGGAUCCCGAUGGGGUAAGAAUUAGCUACAAACUUGUUAAACAGUGGCUAGCUAGAGUUUUUCCUCUGAAAUUGCUCUGCAGCUAGAUUAAGCCUUUCUAAUGACGCCAGAAAAAAGAGCAUUAUCAGCAGACCUGUAACCCUGGUAUCGGAAAAAAGAAACGUUUUUUGUGAUGAACAGAGGCCCAGUGUUUCAGGUGAAGCUAAUGAUUCUUUGGCUUUUAGAAGACAAUAAGGAAUAGAAUGAACAGGCCCUGUUUUGAGUCAAGUACAUAAAAGCCUCAUGAAAGCUCCUAUGUGUGUUUGUUGUUAUGACAUACUGAAAUAUUGCUUGAGAGACAGACUUUUGGAAGAUUACAUGGGCUGUCUCCUAACUGCACCAGGGCAAGGAAGCCAUGAGUCUGUGAACCGGACAUAAGGAUAUAAAUGGGAUAAUUUGGGAACUUUAUACUGAGCUGUAUGUGUAAAGUGUUUAAAAUAUUGUUACUGUGGUUGGGAAUUAUAUGAAUUGUCUGUGCCUCACUGAGAAACAUUUAACUGAGGGCAUAGUGAUUAUGAAUGCUAUUCAUUUUGCUGAAGACCCAAAUUUUGCUUCAUAUGGAGUGAUCCAUGAAGAGGAUAAGCCUCUGGUACCCUACACUGAACAUUUAAUUGGAACAAAAAUUAUAAAUUCCUGCUCCAGGGAAAAAUUUAGCCAGGAAAAUCAUGAUUACCAUGUGCAAUUUUACUACAGAAAGGUAAAAAUUAAUUUAAAAUGGAAGGGUUAUCUGUGACUGUGUUAAUAUAACUACAUUAAGUCAUAAUACUGGUUGUAACCAUUUGUCCCCAAACAGAAACCCUUCUCCCAAAAAGGAAAAUCAGAACAAACAUGCACCUCCAUGUCGUUACCCUGUAGUGAAAGUGAUCUCACUCAAUACCUCCAAAGAAGGAAGAGAUGCUUCAGAGAAUCAAUUCCUAGAAAUGCCAGAGGGACAGGAACUGGACCAAAGCCCUCUAACAGCACUAACUCAAAACCACAGAAAUGCUCAUCCUAAGGAUCAGAACCCUGAAGAUCAGGAUGCCAGAAAGACAGAGAAGAAGGACAUGGUGAAAAAACAGAAAAGACACCACCAAACCCUGAGAGAACCAUGUGUAAAACACAAGAAUUCACUGUUUCAAAGCUCGUGCUUUGGGGCCUAUGAAUAAGAAACCCAGGACUGGUUGCACACAUAAUUUAGAGAAGUCUCAGAAGGAGAUUUUUCACCUGUUUUUGAAAGAUGAUUAUUGUGUAAACAACAAGAGGGGAUCUUUGGGCGGUGCAGGCAGAUUUACACAUUACAGAAAGAGUGUGCAGCAUGAUUUGAAAGACCAUGAUUAUUGUGCCAACAAAAAGAGGGGAUCUUUGGGGGUGUGGGCAGACAUACACAUUGCAGACAGUGUAUUCAGAGUGUUUUGAAAGAUCAUGGUUAUUUGAGCAAAAGGACAGAUUUUAUAUGGAGAGUUGGCGGUAAACUCAGGAGUAAGCAGCUUGCAAGACAAAAAGUCGGGCCUGGUUAAAAAUGACUUGUAAAAGCUAAAUGUCUGUUGAGAACAAAAAGUGAGCCCCUAGUGAUGGUGAUUCACAUGCUCCUCCUGAAACUGUGAAACUGGAAAGUAAGGGCAGUGAAUGUGAUUUAGGGGACCCAUUAGAGAAUCCCUCAAGUGCUUACCCUCCUGAGCCUCUGAAGUCAGAGAGUGAGGGAGGUGGAUGUGAUUCAGGGGACCCAUUAGAGGGUCCUUCAAAUGCUUCCCCUCCUGAGCCUAUGAGUCAGAGUGGGGGAUGGAUGUGAUUCAGGGGACACAAAUUGUCCCUCAAAUGCUUCCUCUUUUCCUGAAUUUAUGGAGUCAGAGAGUGGGGGUGGCGGAUGUGAUUCAAAGGACCCAAUAGAGGAUCUCUCAAAUGCCCCACCUCCUCCUGAGCCAGUGGAGGAUAUCUGGGCACACUUAGAUAUGAUAUGGGUGAGAAGGUGGGAGUGCUCGGAGGUUUAGAACAAGGUUUGCAGCCCGGAGGUAUGCAUGUCAUACUAUAUUUUGUCAGUGGCUUAAACUCCUGGACUUUUACUGAGGAGAAGAACAGAACAAAAACAAUGUUUCAGUAUGAUGGAAUCACCUUUCAGGAAGUGAAUGAAGUUCAGAAGACUAGCAAAUGAACAUGCUGUUUUGUACAGCUUUCUUUUUCUUUUCUUGCAGUACAAAAAUAUAGUAAUAUAGAAUAUGUUUAUGUUAUAUAAUUUAAUAUUGAGUAGUUUUCUCUCCAUUUAUUUGAUUAUACAUCUUACCUCUGAUGUUAGACUACUGACAGGGUACAUAGUUUGCAACAGGUUUCUCAUGAGAAAAAAUCCUACUGAUUUCUCUCUCCUCCAUAUAUUCUUUUUCCUUUAAUUAGCUCAUGCAGAUUUAAAAGGACAUGAUUUCCCUGACACUGGACAUCAGUCAUUUUCUGUAGUAAAUAGCCACAGGGCAGCAUAUCACACUGAAUAGAGGACUUGAUUCUGUUCCUGGUUUUACCAGUAGACUGUCAAGUAGUCCUGGGCAAGUCAUUUUACUUCUCUAUGCAUCCACAACGUGGGGGGGGGAAUGAUACUAACCCCCUUUGUACAGCACUUUGAUCAUCAUGGAUGAAAAAGCACUAUAAGAGGUAUUAUUUCCUUCAUUCCCAGAACUCUCUUUUUAGGAUUUUGCAAAGCUUAUGUCCUCCUUUCAGGUGGGAGUACUUUUGUACUGUAAUCUAGUUUAGCAACAUAACAAGAUGGAGAUUCUGUCUUGUGAGCUGAAAUGGAGACAGAAUAUAUUGUGAGCAGCGAUAGUUUUUAGUCCUCAAUCUCGAGGAGCAUACGACUCCCAGAAAAAAUUGAGAAACAUAGCUCAAAAACAGUGGCAUAGGCACCUGAAAGGACUCUAAUGGUGUUUUGGCCUAAUGUAGGACCAUUUCAUGCUAUUGAUUUUUUAAGAACUAUAGUUGAAAUGUAGUGAAAAUAUUUUUCCUUGGCCAGCUAUUUUCAGGCUAAUGUUCUUUUGUAGACUUCCCAAGGAUAAUAGUGGAAACUGAGUUGCAGACCUAACCCUAGAAAAAACGCUGCCUUCAUUGUCCUGUGGAAGAUAUGUUAGUAUAAAAGCACUCAGUAUGAGAAAAUCACAUACACACACAAAUUUUCUGCAAUAUUUAGUCAAUGUUUAGUAUUUCUGAGCCUGAGCUCACAAGGAUUUGUACAGUGCUAUGUCAUUCAGAGGCAGAUGAGCUCCGUAAGAGCCAACAGCCUUCCAUACCCGGAGAGGAGAUGAACACCACCAGGUCACACUGCCUGAAGAAUCACCAAUGAUGCAAAGCAACUCAAGUAACCUCAGCCAAACAGGGUACAGUGGAGGAGGGUUAUUAUAGCACCAGUGAUCGCAGCGGCCUCAGGACUGAUUUGACAAUGCCAUUCAGUAGCUUCUAUUUUGAAGGCUUCUCCGUUUUAGAUGACUCUCACAAGUAUGCUUUUUUUUUGGGGGGGGGGGGGGGGGGCGGUUGAUGGAAAUGUAGAAUGCUUUACCUCCUGCGUGUCACACACAAGCAGUUACUAAGCACUCACAUUACAAAUGUGUCAAGACCAAAGUGUGUAUUUGCUAUGUAGGAUUCUGAUCCCAGUCUGACUGGAAUCCAUAGCAAGUCCCUCUGACUUCAGUUGGUUCUGGGAAAUUCUGUUUUCUCAGAACUCUUCUUGGUUCAGAAGGAACUUUAACUACAUAAAUGUGGUCUCCUAGUUUCAUUUCUGAGGGUUUUAUUUUAAAACAACCGGGCCUAACUUUAAAUUGGGGAGGGGACAACCUACUGCUUUUAUUAAUUGUGCUUGGUUGUUGUGGAUCAGCACUUUUAAAUCCCAUAUUAGUUGGGCCCACUUCUGUGUCUCAAAACUUAUGCAUCUCUGGCCUAAAACAUGUAUAAACUGGUCAGAGGUUCCAUAAUUCAAGCACCUGCUCUUAAGUGUAUCAGUCUGAGCUUCAUCCAUCUUAGAUGUAAACCCACCUUGUUCUAAAAAGCACUUUUUACUAAGGGGAACCAUUAUUUUAGGUCCAUCAUAGAUGAUUUAAUAUUUCUGUUAACUUUGUUCCCUCCUUUAUCAAUCACAAAGUUCAGGUCCUUGCUUUAUGAGUUAUGUAUUAUUUUAUCCCAAAGAACACUAGGUAGCAGUCAACAAUAAAUUAUAUAUUGUGCAGGGCUUACAUUUAUAUCCAGCAAAGUCUUUGUUUAGAAUAAACCUUCUGAUUUUUAAUAUUGCAAACUUAUCUGGGGAUGUAGUUUGGCUGCAAAUAUUGCCAGUAAUUUUCCUUCUUUGCAGUGCUACUUUUUUGCAAGAAGAUAUAACUGCUACAAUGAGAAAAUCCCUCUUGAACCUACUUCUAAAUACCAGAUUUCCCACUAAUAAAGAACAAAGCCUAGUUUCUUCAACACUGUUAUCCAGGUUUUCUUCAAUGCUUUGUUAGAAGCUGAAGAUACUUAAAGGCAAGUAGACUGACUGUUUAUCAUAGCUGAAAGGAUACAGGGCUAAGACAUCCUUCUCUAUAUGAAUGUAUCCUGUUAUCUUUCUAUUCCCAAUUGUUCUCUAAUAUAAGGGUGAAUAUCACAUGAAGAAGGAUAAAAAUUCCUUAAACCGUGGAAAUCUAUAACCUUUCUGUAGGGAACUAUAACUUCUUUGUAAUAGUUUCAGGGUUUGUUCUGUUUAUCUUUCUGCUUGCCUUACAGUAUCACAUUCAUUUUGAAAACUAUACUUUCCAAAUUCUUACUGGCAAGGAGCUAAAUAUAUACAUUAUAUAUACAUUAUAUGUUCUUCAUUAUAUUUUCCCACACACAAAUAUUUGAUUCCUUUUCCCAUCUCUAUUUUCCAAGAUCCAAUUUAUAUUUUAACUGAUCCAGAUUAAUAUGAACUAUAAUUUAUAUUUAUUUUUAGGUUAAUUCUAAAUCAUAUGAUUCUGUUCUCUUCACUGAAGCUAAUUUUGUCUUGUUUUUUCUCUAUUCUUUUAAUACUCAUCAAACUACACUGAAAGUUUGACCUUACCUCAACCAGUAACGUGCCAGCUUUCUUUCUUAUUCUUAUACUAAGGCAGUAUUAUUUUUAAUACCCUUUAUUGGCUUCCAGUCAGUCUGUCCUCUUUAUACUGUCUUUAAAAUGAAAAUUCUCCAUUAAGUUUUUUAUUAAAAUCAGUUGCAAAACUUGAAAAUUUUUAUCUGUCACCAGUUCAGUGAAUAUUGCAUUGACCUUCGCAUCUAGAUAUCUUCCCCCACGUUUCCGCCUCCCCCACUCCCAACAUAAAAUUGUCUGGAAAAGCUGUUUACAUAUGUUCACUCUUCAUAACAGGGACAACCCUUUCAACUCACGUGUGGAACCACCUACUUCUUUUCUAGAAUAUGCAAAGGAAGCUAAGAUACUUAAAUAUAAUGGUGUAGUAGAGAACACCACAACAUGUACGCUGGUGCCUCGUUUCAGUAGUGAAGUGAAAGAAAGUGUACAUGAGUGCAACUGGGUAUUCCAUUUGCGUUACAGUUAAUCAUAUUCAGCCAGUAGAGUUAUAAGCUAUCCAAAGUAUUCCAUUUGGGUUACAGUUAAUCAUAUUCAGCCAGCAGAGUAAUAAGCUAUCCAGUAUUUUCAAAGGCUGCUCAAGAAAGAAGAAUUAAAAGGUCAAAGACAGAGUGACUUUGAUAAAAAAAGUAUGAAACAUUGUGAGAGAUUUGCCCUGUAACACAAUAAUCUCAUGGCUGUAUAAAGUACCAUCUUAUCUGAAUUCUUGCAGGGAACAUUUUUUCAAUUGUCCUCCAUGGAAGAGUUUGGACUAACAUCUCUAUUGAAUGUAGAAAGGCAGGGCAAUCAACUGCUGAACACAGUGACAAUGACCACUCCUAGACUAGAGGAAUGCAUAAUUAAUGUAGUUUCACUAAUCUGAUAUCAAAGGUAAAGAAGUGCAAAAGCAAAUAUGCAUAUGAUAAAGAACUGGACAACUGCAAUAUACAAUCCGAUAUACAUAGUAUGUUCCUUGCCUAUGCACCCAAGAUGAAAGAAAACGUAAAUACCAAGUGGGGACAGGUUUGACUGGGAAAUCAAAACAGUUGGUUUGGUCAAAAAAGGGACUCAGAUGAGGGGGGAAAGUGUAUUUGAGUUUUGUUCAGAAAAAAAGAGAGGGAGUUCCAGCUGAAGGCUCUCCGCAAGGUUUUUGCUUGAGAGAGAAAAAUCACUGCAGCUAAACUUGGCUAUUAAUAAAAGACACCAGUGUGUGGUAUUUCUUCAGUUUCUUUGGUAUACCUUGCCUUUAGAUAUAGCUUAGGCUAAAGCACACAAGUGUGUGGUAUUUCUGCAGUUUCUUUGGUAUACCUUGCCUUUAGAUAUAGCUUGGGUAAAUCCAAAGGGAAUAAUUCAUUUUAGUCUAUUAUUGUCUGUAAGAAUGCUUCUAUUUAAUAAAUCUUUCUUGACUAAACAGGAUGUCCCUAAAUAUAUAGUAUAACUCUAAAGGUAUCUUUCAUUUUUAUCCAAAUGCCAGCAUGGGGGAAUCCAUCUCUGGAGGGAGAUAUUGUGGGCCAAAUUUCAAAAUGAAUAGGGUGCCUAUGCAAUCCAUAUAGACAGCGGAAAGAAAAAGCAGGAUUCAAAAGAAAAUAGAAACAAAAAAUGGAAAACAGAAGCACGAAUAGGGUGAGUUGUGGGUGAACACUAUAGGGUGGAAGCACUGUAGGGUGAGUUGUGGCAUUUAGGUACUAGGGGAAUUACAAUGAGGUUGGUAUUACAAUGAGGUUGGCAUGAAUUAAAAUGAGGUUGGUGCAAAUUACUGUUCUGGGCUUAAUUUGAAAUUAGUUGCAACAGGAGACACCAGGUACAUGGAAAUAAAAGUUCCAGACUUAAAGCAUCAUCUCCUGUUUCUCUUCCAACAAUAGGUAUAGGAUUCAGUCACCAGAAAUUGAAAGGAAAAAAGGCAUCCCACUCCCAUGAUCUGUGGAAGAGUUUAGGAAUAAUCUAGUAAAACAUAAAAUGGAAACUUUCCUAGAUAUAACAUCCCUGAAGUUAGAUGAAGCCUUUUUAAUGACUCCAGAAAGUCUGCUCACCAGUACACCCAUAAAGCUGACACCAGAAGGAAGCAGAUGUUUUUUCAGAGAACAAAGACUGGAUGAGGCCGAAGAGUUUAGAAGAAAUUAGGCAUUGAAUCAUCAAGUCCUGUUGCACAUCAAGAACAUAAAAUCUUCAUGAAGUUUCUUGUGCACAUUUCCUUUUAUGGCAUAAUGAAAUACGGCUUGAUUAUGAGACUGUUUAAAAAGUGUUGGGGUUGUUUUCAUGAUCCAGGGGGGUCAAGGGGCUCAUGAUUGUGUUAUCUGGUUAUGUGAAGACAUAAAUCAAACAAUUCAUGAACUUUGCCAGGAAAUAUGUCUUGAUAGCAUUUUCAAUACUGUUAUUAUAGCCAUUGGAUUUGCCAGGAACAUUCUCAGAAUUACUGAGAAACAUUUACUUCAGGAUAGAGAGCUUCUAAACACUGUGUAUUCUGCAGAAGAUCCUAAUGCUGCUCUUUAUGAUUUGAUCACUGAGGAGGAAAAACCUCUCAUACCCUAUAUUGAAUACUUAAUUGGCACUAGAAAUUACAAAACCCUCCUUAAGAGAAGGGUUUAGCAAAAACAGUUUAAAAUGUGUUUUACAACUUUUGCUGAUUUUGGAGGAUGGGGGAGGGUAGUAAAGAAGUAAAUCAUGUCAACAGUUUUCAACUGGGCAGAUUAGCAUUUGCUUUAGUGUUUUGGAUCUCUAAGAACAUGCAUCUGGGGACCUUUUUGUGAAGAUAAGGCCAAUGAGACUUAAUUGCCACUAGAAAUUGUAAAAAAACCCUUCUUAGGAGAAGGGUUAACAAAAUAUUGUAAAGGCUUCUGAUAUAAAUAAAAACUGAUUUAAAAAAUAUAUUUUCACAAGGUUUGUAUACUAUGGGGGGUGCAGAAUGGUUGGGGUGGUGAAUUUCCUGAGAACCAGGGAGUAUGUUGUAAAGAUAAACCAGACCGCAAAAAUGAAUGCGUGUUCAGAGCUCUAUGUAUUUUAAGACUAAAGGGGUUAUCUUUUACCAAAAGUCCUGUUGUAAAGAGAAACCCAAUGAGACUUAAUUGUCACUAGAAAUUAUAAAAAAAAAAACCUUCUUAGGAGAAUGUUUAACAAAAUAAA